rnacentral:rRNA from 1 species
GGGGGAUAUUGCGCAAUGGGGGCAACCCUGACGCAGCAACGCCGCGUGAAGGAUGAAGGUUUUCGGAUUGUAAACUUCUUUUAUUAAGGACGAAAAUUGACGGUACUUAAUGAAUAAGCUCCGGCUAACUACGUGCCAGCAGCCGCGGUAAUACGUAGGGAGCAAGCGUUGUCCGGAUUUACUGGGUGUAAAGGGUGCGUAGGCGGCUUUGCAAGUCAGAUGUGAAAUCUAUGGGCUCAACCCAUAAACUGCAUUUGAAACUGUAGAGCUUGAGUGAAGUAGAGGCAGGCGGAAUUCCCCGUGUAGCGGUGAAAUGCGUAGAGAUGGGGAGGAACACCAGUGGCGAAGGCGGCCUGCUGGGCUUUAACUGACGCUGAGGCACGAAAGCGUGGGUAGCAAACAGGAUUAGAUACCCUGGUAGUCCACGCUGUAAACGAUGAUUACUAGGUGUGGGGGGUCUGACCCCUUCCGUGCCGGAGUUAACACAAUAAGUAAUCCACCUGGGGAGUACGGCCGCAAGGUUGAAACUCAAAGGAAUUGACGGGGGCCCGCACAAGCAGUGGAGUAUGUGGUUUAAUUCGAAGCAACGCGAAGAACCUUACCAGGUCUUGACAUCCAACUAACGAAGUAGAGAUACAUUAGGUGCCUUUCGGGGAAAGUUGAGACAGGUGGUGCAUGGUUGUCGUCAGCUCGUGUCGUGAGAUGUUGGGUUAAGUCCCGCAACGAGCGCAACCCUUGCUAUUAGUUGCUACGCAAGAGCACUCUAAUAGGACUGCCGUUGACAAAACGGAGGAAGGUGGGGACGACGUCAAAUCAUCAUGCCCCUUAUGACCUGGGCUACACACGUACUACAAUGGAUGUUAACAGAGGGAAGCAAGACAGUGAUGUGGAGCAAACCCCUAAAAACAUUCUCAGUUCAGAUUGCAGGCUGCAACCCGCCUGCAUGAAGAUGGAAUUGCUAGUAAUCGCGGAUCAGAAUGCCGCGGUGAAUACGUUCCCG